rnacentral:snRNA from 1 species
GGAUUUGAGGGCAAUCUGGCUGAGACAUCUGUCACCCUAUGGAUCUCCAGGGUUGAUUCAGCUGAUCUGGCUGGCUAGGCAGGUGUCUCCUUCUUCCCUCACCGCUCCAUGUGAGUCCCUCAGUCUGACAGAAGCUUCGGGCUCUGUUGAAGAGGAAGGCCUUCCCCGAAUAGAGAUGGACAGAUCUUCCGUUGAGAGUGUAAGAGUAGCUGUGCUCCCCUGCUAGAACCUCCAAACACUUCUCAAAGUAUUUGCACUAUUUUGUGCAAUAAAUCUAAGAAGAUGAACAUCAGCUACCAUUAGAAUGAGUUAAGAUCAAUCUUAUAUUCAAUG